rnacentral:rRNA from 1 species
AGCAGCAGCCGCGGUAAUACGAAGGGUGCAAGCGUUACUCGGAAUUACUGGGCGUAAAGCGUGUGUAGGUGGUUGUUUAAGUCUGUCGUGAAAGCCCUGGGCUCAACCUGGGAAUUGCGAUGGAUACUGGGCGACUAGAGUGCGGUAGAGGAUAGUGGAAUUUCCGGUGUAGCAGUGAAAUGCGUAGAGAUCGGAAGGAACAUCUGUGGCGAAGGCGACUAUCUGGGCCAACACUGACACUGAGACACGAAAGCGUGGGGAGCAAACAGGAUUAGAUACCCCUGUAGUCCCUGUCUCUUAUAU